AGGGAUAGGGUCGGUUUGGCCGGAUUUCACACAGGUGUUGCAUGGCUGUCGUCAGCUCGUGUCGUGAGAUGUUGGGUUAAGUCCCGCAACGAGCGCAACCCUCAUCCUUAGUUACCAUCAGGUAAUGCUGGGGACUUUAAGGAAACUGCCAGUGAUAAACUGGAGGAAGGUGGGGAUGAUGUCAAGUCAUCAUGGCCCUUAUGGAGUGGGCUACACACGUGCUACAAUGGUGGCUACAAUGGGCUGCAAAGUCGCGAGGCUAAGCUAAUCCCUUAAAAGCCAUCUCAGUUCGGAUUGUACUCUGCAACUCGAGUACAUGAAGUUGGAAUCGCUAGUAAUCGUGGAUCAGCAUGCCACGGUGAAUACGUUCUCGGGUCUUGUACACACUGCCCGUCACGCCAUGGGAAUUGGU
rnacentral:rRNA from 1 species